AUCCCUCCUGGCGGCCGACGGAUUGCGACGACCGACGCCCAGCAUACACCAGUGACUUCAUCGGGGGCCUCGGCGGAGACGCGGUUUGAUCGACUCCAGAGGGCACAACGGUGCAACGUGCUCGGAUAGUGGAGAAGCGGUUGAGGGUGACGGUGAGGAACCGGUCCCUUGGAUAAGGUACACCAAAGAUUCACAGCCUCUUCCGCUGGAUGCCCUGAUCCACUCCUUGCAGCCAGGCGAUUCCAUACUCGGUCGGCGGUGGAAGGACGAGCCUCUCCAAGAGCGGUGGAAGGGACCCCACGCCGUCCUGUUGGUUUCCCAUACAGCAGCAAAGGUCGAAGGACACAAGAACUGGAUUCAGCACUCCCGUCUGAAGGCAGUGCCCGCUCCUGAACAGUGGACCAUCCA